UUUCCCUCUGCUGUCUCCUGAAUUACAUUUGUUUUUCCACAAAAGAAAAAGAAAGAAAGAAAGAAAGAAAGAGAAGGAUUCUUCUGCCUUUGGAUGAGUGUUCACAAAUUGUAAAAACUUCCAUGAAGCAUGAACAAGGUAUCAAUGUUUCACCUUGGAACAGGGAACCAAAAUAGUACAUAAAGCUCUAUUAUCACAUGAUCCAGCAACCUCACUACUGGGUGAUUGCCCAAAGGAAAAGAAAUCAUUAUAUCAAAAAGAUCCCUGCACACGUGUUUAUCACAGCACCAUUCACAAGAGCAAAGAUAUGAAAUCAACCUCAGUGUCCAUCAGUGGAUGAUUGGAUAAAUCGAAUGUGGUAUAUAUACACAAUGGAACACUACACAGCCAUACAAAAUAAAAUCAUGUAUUUUGCAGCAACAUGGCUAGAACGGGAGGCCAUUAUCUUAAGUGAAAUAACUCAGAAACAGAAAGUCAAAUACUGCAUGCUUUCACUAAUAAGUGGGAGAUAAAUAAUGUGUCCACAUGGACAUCCAGCGUGGAAUAAUAGACAUUGGAGACUCAGAAGGGCAGGAGGCUGAGGGGGUGAGGGAUGAGAAAUUAUUUAAUGGGUACAAUGUACACUAUUCAGGUGAUAGAUACAUUAAAAGCCCAAACUUUACCACUAUGCAAUAUAUCCAUGUAACUGCACUUGUAUCCCUUAAAUUUAUACAAAUAAAAAAAAUAAGCUUCUACAUAUACUUUGCACCAACCCAUUGUAUUUUACUUCCCAUCAGUAGAAAUACAAUUCUCUCUUUUACUUGAGGUAAAAAAAAAAAAAAAAAAUUCGUUGUUGUUAUUGUUUGUUUUGUUUUGUUUCUACGAUGAGAAAUACCAGUUCAUG
rnacentral:lncRNA from 10 species